GGAAUGGUGCUAGUCCUUCUCCAGCAAAUUGUAUUUAAUUGUAGUUCACUAGGAAAGUGACAAUUGUUUAGAAACCCCACAGGCAUAGGUAACAUCACUAAACCUUAGACAGCUAGACAGAUCCUAAAGGUUGUAACUGCUGAACACUAAGGCUUUCUGGUACAUCUACAAAUCUACACAGUAGUGGAAUGUGAGUACAGGGAAGGAUGAAGUGAGAAUGAAGUCUCCAGGAAUGUUAAGAAGCAAAUGUUCCUAGAAGCUGUGGCCAAGCACAUGAGGGACUGGACAACUGGGAACAACCAGCAUGACCAAGGGUUCCUGAACUCCACAAUCUCAUGGCCACUGCAGCUGAGGAUGCUUUUGACCUUCACAACCCCACUGAGCUCCUCCUUGUU